rnacentral:rRNA from 1 species
UUUUACCUACGGGGGGCAGCAGUGAGGAAUAUUGGUCAAUGGGAGAGAUCCUGAACCAGCCAAGCCGCGUGAGGGAUGAAGGUACAGAGUAUCGUAAACCUCUUUUGUCAGGGAACAAAGGCGGGGACGUGUCCCCGGAUGAGUGUACCUGAAGAAAAAGCAUCGGCUAACUCCGUGCCAGCAGCCGCGGUAAUACGGAGGAUGCGAGCGUUAUCCGGAUUUAUUGGGUUUAAAGGGUGCGCAGGCGGUCUGUUAAGUCAGCGGUCAAAGCCCGGGGCUCAACCCCGGCCCGCCGUUGAAACUGG